rnacentral:rRNA from 1 species
UGAGUUUGCUCCUGGCUCAGGAUGAACGCUAGCGGGAGGCUUAACACAUGCAAGUCGAGGGGUAGCACGGGUAGCAAUACUUGGUGACGACCGGCGGACGGGUGAGUAACACGUAUGUAACCUGCCUUUUGCAAGGGGAUAGCCCGAAGAAAUUUGGAUUAAUACCCUAUGGUUUAUAUUUUUCGCAUGGGAGAUAUAAUAAAGAUUUAUUGGUAGAAGAUGGGCAUGCGUAUCAUUAGCUAGAUGGUAAGGUAACGGCUUACCAUGGCGACGAUGAUUAUGGGGUCUUAAAGGAUGGUCCCACACACUGGCACUGAGACACGGGCCAGACUCCUACGGGAGGCAGCAGUGAGGAAUAUUGGUCAAUGGGCGGAAGCCUGAACCAGCCAUCCCGCGUGCAGGAAGAAUGUCUUAUAGAUUGUAAACUGCUUUUCCAUUAGAAUAAUAAAGGGGACGUGUCCCCUGACGCAGGUAUAAUGGGAAUAAGCAUCGGCUAAUUCCGUGCCAGCAGCCGCGGUAAUACGGAAGAUGCGAGCGUUAUCCGGAUUUAUUAGGUUUAAAGGGUGCGUAGGUGGCGAAUUAAGUCAGUGGUGAAAUAUUGUAGCUUAACUAUAAUAAGCCAUAGAAACUGGUUUGCUUGAGUGCAGAUGAGGUAGGCGGAAUGUGUUGUGUAGCGGUGAAAUGCAUAGAUAUAACACAGAACACCGAUUGCGAAGGCAGCUUACUAAGGUGCAACUGACACUGAGGCACGAAAGCGUGGGGAUCGAACAGGAUUGGAUACCCUGGUAGUCCACGCCGUAAACGAUGAGUGCUAGAUGUGGGAAGCUAUAAGUUUUCCGUAUCGCAGCUAACGCAAUAAGCACUCCGCCUGGGGAGUACGACCGCAAGGUUGAAACUCAAAGGAAUUGACGGGGGCCCGCACAAGCGGUGGAGCAUGUGGUUUAAUUCGAAGCAACGCGAAGAACCUUACCAGGUCUUGACAUACCAAUGCUAUUCCUAGAGAUAGGAAGUUCCUUCGGGACAUUGGAUACAGGUGGUGCAUGGUUGUCGUCAGCUGUGUCGUGAGAUGUUGGGUUAAGUCCCGCAACGAGCGCAACCCCUAUGUUUAGUUGCCAUCAUUAAGUUGGGCACUCUAGACAGACUGCCGGUGAUAAACCGGAGGAAGGUGGGGAUGACGUCAAAUCAUCAUGCCCCUUAUGACCUGGGCUACACACGUGCUACAAUGGAUGGUACAACGAGUCGCGAGACAGUGAUGUUUAGCUAAUCUCUUAAAACCAUUCUCAGUUCGGAUUGUAGGCUGCAACUCGCCUACAUGAAGUCGGAAUCGCUAGUAAUCGCGGAUCAGCACGCCGCGGUGAAUACGUUCCCGGGCCUUGUACACACCGCCCGUCACACCACGGGAGUUGGAAGCACCCGAAGUCUGUGACCUAACCGAAAGGAAGGAGCAGCCGAAGGUGAAGCCAG